rfam:Oryza sativa Japonica Group DNA, chromosome 6, cultivar: Nipponbare, complete sequence.
AAAAAGGCAAACCAUGGGUUUCCGUGUCCAACUUUGACUGUCCGUCUUAUAUGAAAUUUUUUUAUAAUUCGUAUUUUCAUUGUUGUUGGAUGAUAAAACAUGAUUAAUAUUUUAUGCGUGACUUGUCUUUUUAAUUUUUUUCAUAAUUUUUUCAAAUAAGACGGACGGUCAAACGUUGGACACGGAAACCAGGGUUUGUCUUUUU